rnacentral:lncRNA from 1 species
AUGGUCACUGCUGUCACUGGACAGCCGACCUUGGCCACGUGUCCACUUCGAGGAGCCAGGGGGCUGGCGGCAGCCACAUGCUUGUGGGGUGGAGACCUUACGGGUUACCCUGGCACACGGUGUCUGGCCAAACCCAACGGGGCAGGAGCACAGACCCCCAGGACGGUGAGGGCACAGGUUGGCUGCUGCCCCUCACCCCCAGUCCCAUGCCUUACACUGGGGACGCUGUCCCCCAGAUGGCCUUUGAGUCCACAGGGUCUGCCCGAGGGUAGAAGUGGCCCGAGCUGCGUGGACUUCUGGUCGCCCCCGGCUGCUCCAUUGGGUGGAUUGCCGCGUGUCUGGGGCUCAAAGCCUGGAGACAUUUCCCAGCUGGCAGCGCCUUCCUCCCCAGGGUCUGGUGGCUGUGCGUCCCCUGGGCUCUCGGAGCCUCCAGCCCGCAGCCCGCCCCGCGGGGCCGUGACAGUGUCACCCCUACCGAUGCCACUGGCGGGAGCCGGUCACCGCCUGGGCCCGGGAGCACGCUCCUCCCUCCCCAGGGGCCACCUCUGGCCCGGCCAGGGAUGGGGGCUGCGUGCAGGGGGGCCGAGUCCAUCCCACUUCCCCCAGAAAGCUGCUGGAGGAGUUCUCGUGGGGCUCCCGCCUCAUGGAGGAGAUGCCGACCCCACGGAAGUGCGCCAGGGGUGCCAGCUCGGCCACACCUACUGGAUUUGGUGGGUUUUCUUCUCCCCAGUGCUAAGGAAUGUCUCCCCCAGCCUCGGAGCAGGUUUAACCCUGAAUGCCAACAGCAGUUCCUCACUACAGACAAAUCACUUCUUUUUUAAAGAUUUGGGGGCGGGAGCGCACACCAGGAGGGGGAGGGGCAGAGGGAGAAGCAGGAGCCCAACGUGGGACUCGAUCCCAGGAUCCCGAGAUCAUGACCUGAACCCAAGGCAGAUGCGUCACCGACGGAGCCCCCUCGGGCGCCCCAGAGUACAGCAUUCUUCAGUCAUUUCACGCAUCUUAGUUCCCUAA